UCCGCGUUCACACAAUGGUGCAGCAUUUGUGUUUCCUGAGCAAAGAAUUUCAGGAAUCACAGACAAGACUGUGCCUAAGUGGAGACAGGUUGGCCAGCUCCUGCAUCCCGAAGGCCACCUGAAGGAGCAGCCGGCAUCAGCAGAGGCAGAGGGGAGAG